UACGUAGGGGGCAAGCGUUGUCCGUAUUUAUUGGGCGUAAAGAGCGUGUAGGCGGCCAGGUAGGUCCGUUGUGAAAACUCGAGGCUCAACCUCGAGACGCCGAUGGAAACCAUCUGGCUAGAGUCCGGAAGAGGAGAGUGGAAUUCCCGGUGUAGCGGUGAAAUGCGCAGAUAUCGGGAAGAACACCCGUGGCGAAGGCGGCUCUCUGGAACGCAACUGACGCUGAGACGCGAAAGCGUGGGGAGCAAACAGG
rnacentral:rRNA from 1 species